rnacentral:lncRNA from 1 species
AAAUAGGUAUAAGAAAUGGAUCUUAGUGAGCGGAUUUCUUUUCGAUUAAUGAAACUCUGAGUUUAAAGUUCUGUAUGUUGAAGAGCAAUGGAAAUCCGGCUGAAAAAAUUGAGCAGCGACCAAAGAUGCCAACGGGGAUAGGAACACAACGGAGCCUCGAACAGAACCUCACACCGACGACAAAAUCGACCCUCUCCACUUAGACCGGAAUACUCGAUCAACUCAGGAGCGAAAGCUCUUUGAAUCAGAAAAUGUUUAGGACCAGAAACCUUGGAUGCGACAACCUCGAUGGAUCCGCGAACAAAUCUGAGCUCAACGCUCAUAUCAGAAAACCUGAACAAACCUGAAACAAUUAACUUAACUCUAUUUGAAUGAUUCUUAGCUUCUUUUUCGAAAUCAAAGGCAAUAAGAAACCAAUAUAUUUUAGUGAUUUUUAUUUUGGAUUUGAAUAAGAAAACUAAAGGAAAAUUGAAAAAACCUUUUUAUUACUUCUUGUGUCUUGAGGAAGAAAACUAUAACAAGAAUCAAAAAUUUUUGUGUUUUGGUAUUUUGUCUUAGAAUUCCAAAAGAGGAAAAAGAAGACAUAGAGUUCUUCUUGGAUUUUUCUUUAACCCCUUAUCGCACUUUCGUUUCAAGAACGCCUUUGGGAGGUCUUUCGUUCUAGUGGUAUUCACAGUGAGAAAUCAGAGGCGGCGGCAAAGGGUCAGAGAGGAAAGGGUAG